rnacentral:rRNA from 1 species
GACGAACGCUGGCGGCGUGCUUAACACAUGCAAGUCGAACGGAAAGGCCCUGCUUUUGUGGGGUGCUCGAGUGGCGAACGGGUGAGUUACACGUGAGUAACCUGCCCUUGACUUUGGGAUAACUUCAGGAAACUGGGGCUAAUACCGGAUAGGAGCUCCUGCUGCAUGGUGGGGGUUGGAAAGUUUCGGCGGUUGGGGAUGGACUCGCGGCUUAUCAGCUUGUUGGUGGGGUAGUGGCUUACCAAGGCUUUGACGGGUAGCCGGCCUGAGAGGGUGACCGGCCACAUUGGGACUGAGAUACGGCCCAGACUCCUACGGGAGGCAGCAGUGGGGAAUAUUGCACAAUGGGCGGAAGCCUGAUGCAGCAACGCCGCGUGCGGGAUGACGGCCUUCGGGUUGUAAACCGCUUUCGCCUGUGACGAAGCGUGAGUGACGGUAAUGGGUAAAGAAGCACCGGCUAACUACGUGCCAGCAACCGCGGUGAUACGUACGGUGCGAGCGUUGUCCGGAUUUAUUGGGCGUAAAGGGCUCGUAGGUGGUUGAUCGCGUCGGAAGUGUAAUCUUGGGGCUUAACCCUGAGCGUGCUUUCGAUACGGGUUGACUUGAGGAAGGUAGGGGAGAAUGGAAUUCCUGGUGGAGCGGUGGAAUGCGCAGAUAUCAGGAGGAACACCAGUGGCGAAGGCGGUUCUCUGGGCCCUUCCUGACGCUGAGGAGCGAAAGCGUGGGGAGCGAACAGGCUUAGAUACCCUGGUAGUCCACGCUGUAAACGGUGGGUACUAGGUGUGGGGUCCAUUCCACGGGUUCCGUGCCGUAGCUAACGCUUUAAGUACCCCGCCUGGGGAGUACGGCCGCAAGGCUAAAACUCAAAGGAAUUGACGGGGCCCCGCACAAGCGGCGGAGCAUGCGGAUUAAUUCGAUGCAACGCGUAGAACCUUACCUGGGUUUGACAUGGAUCGGGAGUGCUCAGAGAUGGGUGUGCCUCUUUUGGGGUCGGUUCACAGGUGGUGCAUGGCUGUCGUCAGCUCGUGUCGUGAGAUGUUGGGUUAAGUCCCGCAACGAGCGCAACCCUUGUUCACUGUUGCCAGCACGUUAUGGUGGGGACUCAGUGGAGACCGCCGGGGUCAACUCGGAGGAAGGUGGGGAUGACGUCAAGUCAUCAUGCCCCUUAUGUCCAGGGCUUCACGCAUGCUACAAUGGCUGGUACAGAGAGUGGCGAGCCUGUGAGGGUGAGCGAAUCUCGGAAAGCCGGUCUCAGUUCGGAUUGGGGUCUGCAACUCGACCUCAUGAAGUCGGAGUCGCUAGUAAUCGCAGAUCAGCAACGCUGCGGUGAAUACGUUCCCGGG